CAAACGUUUUUUCUAAAUUAACUUAACAAAAAAAAAUGAAACGAAAUAAAAUCACUUUACCAUUACAUACAAAACUGAACUAUUUCAAUAGAUGAAACAGUACACUGUCAGAAAAAAAGGUACCGCAGGGGUACAGUUUUGUUCCUAGGGGAACAAAAAAUUUAAUUGUACCUUGAAAGGUCCACAAUUGGUCCUUAGGGUACAAUUAUGUUCCCAAAAUGAGUUAUAAAGGUACAACAUUUCAGAUUCAGAUGUGAAAGGUACAUUUUUGUACCUUGGAUUUAUUUUAUUUUUAUUUAUAUAUUUAUUUUAAGUUUAUCCCCAAUUAGAGUAGGUCUAACUAUGUGUUUUUAUUUUUUAUUUAUUGAUUUAAUGUGUCAACUCAUGAUAACAUCAAGACACUUUAAUAAAUUACUUUAAAUGUUAAAAAUAUAUUUUCAAACGAAAGCCUACAACCGCUUGUCUCCUACAUGUAAAAUGAGACAGAUAUAAAUGACAAACUUAAUACUAAUAAAAUUAUUAAAUAAAAUAUUUUGAAUGACUUGAUGUUUUUUUUUUUUUUUUUUUUUUGUAAUAUUAUAGUAAGAAAAUCUUUUUUAUUAAAUGUAUUUUUUAUUAAUUUAAAACUUUGAAAUGUUGACCUUUGUGUUGUUUUUUAAGACGCUGAAUGAAAUUUGGAAGAAGGACAAUGCGGAAUGGCCAAGUUUAAUUACACUCAAGUAAUUAAAUUCAAAACUUGCUUACGCAGACGUAAUUGUCGUUGUCCCUUUAAGAAAAUUUCCCUCGCUUGGCUCGAGUAGUUCAUUUGUGGGUAUCGAGUAUUCUGGCGUGCUCGGACAGAACGUCGAACGGUUUUCAACGCGAAUUAUGUUUUGGAGUUCAUUUUUCUCAGGUAAAUGCCAAAUAAUGUUCUAUAAGCUUAUUUUUACACGUGUGUCGCCAUGUUCGAUUGAUUUUGGUGUUUCCCCUACUAAGCCCGUCAAAAGUGCUUGCGUCGGACUGGCUGGUGUACGUUGGUCUACAGGAUGGAGCUGGCUAGAAUGUCUACAGCUCACUUAAUAAAGGAGUUAAUACAAUUUGGUAUCGAAGUCUCUGAAGAGGAGAGGAAAAUAUUGAAAUAAAAUCAGCCUGGCAGCAGCUUUUCUUGCCGUUUUUGAAGUUCUGAAGUUUCCAUUUGACAUUCAGGCCAAGUUGGACGAAAAGAAUGCUGACUUACUUCAGACCAAAACAAAAUUAUCAGAACAUUGCAUGAAAGCAUGGCUCAGUACAAAAUGUAUCCAACUAAUGAAGAGUAUGUUCAAGUGGCUAAGGCCCUGACUCUGAGGUAUCCCUUUUUAAAAGACAAUCUCGAAUGAGGAGGCCCUUUAGCAGAGCCGCACAAAGAAGAAUCUCUCAUUGAAGACCAUCUUGGAAUUGAUUUUAAAGCAGCACUUCUCAUGUUGCCAGCCUUGUUCAGAGAGAAACUUGAGCAUUUCAUUGAGCUUGGAGAGUGAACCAUCUUCACCAUAUCCAACUGUUCAAGUACAGGAGACCACUGACUGGAAAACUGUGAUUACAAGAAGAGUCACUGCAGUCAGCAGAGUUAAUGGGAUCGAGCGGUGUGGAUGAAGGGGCUCUUGCAGUAUUUUGUGCUUAUUUCGUCUUCAAUUUGACAUAUCCAUCUCAUUUGAAGAACGCUCUGAUGUUGUUAUUAUUAUUCAUACUGUGUGAAAUGUGAGCAUGAAUGGACUGUCCUCUCGCCAGGUGAAGAGGUUGAUUACCAGGCGUUAGAUGUUGAUGACAAGUAAUGUUAAUGACAAGUUAUUUAUUAGCACUAGAUAUUUUUGCUGAAGACAAACUGCUGUAAACGUGCCGUAUUUAAUGUAGCCUGUGUAAUAAGGUGUAUAUCAAUG